UUGGCCAGUUAGUAUGUUUUUCACUGUCGUAUUUAAACGUACAUGUUCUACGAUCGCUCCGCGUUUAUAUAACGUAUUAAUUUUUCCUCGUCCGUGUAUUUAAAAAUGUUUAAAUGCGAGCAAUGUCCUUUGAAAUUCAACCAUUUAACUAAUUUGGUCGCUCACCGAAAAACACAUUUCAAAAUGUUUAAAUGCGAACAAUGUACUUUAGAAUUCACGGCGGAACGUGAUUUGAUCGCUCACCGAAAAACGCAUGUGAGCGUGCGUUUCCCGUGGGAAAUAUAAAUAGGUGUUCCAUUACAUUCAGUUCCAAAACUAGCACCAAAAAAUAUUUGAAAAAUGUUCAUGGUUUGUACAUUUGUACAAGCUCCGCUUCAGCAAGGAAAAUAUAUACAGUUCGCGCCACACAUUAUCGUUUCCGACAUACCAACUAGACCGUCAUUCUUACGAGAAACCAUGACGGACUUACCAACAGUGCUACCAACCCAAAAUGAUCACUCAUCAACCGUACGACAUACCGCGAUAGACUGCCCAGCGGGACCGCCCACCCAAAAUAAUUGCUCAUCAACAGUACGAGAUAACGCCAUACAUACAUUUUCAUGCUAUGUGGUUUGUAACGAGUGCAUGGAAGAUGUAAACAUCAUCGAAAAUCUUGGACUCCAUGAUAUGCAAGAUUCAUACACUACGGUCGAUAAUGGAAAACGUGUUUCCAGUGUCAACAUUACUUCAGCUAUUAGGGCAAAAAAAUUGCGCUUGAAUCUCGUGCAGUCCCCUGGGUUUAUGGAAAUCUCCUCAUCAUCCAGACCAUCUGGUAUUACUUAACAAAUAUCAGCAAUACUCAAAACUACUGUCAUCUACAACUCUAAUUUUUCACGACUCAUCCGCUCACAGAAAACCAGACAUAAUAGAUAAAUAAUUCUUAAUUUUUUUUUUUGGGGGGGGGGAUGGCUGAGCGGACUAAGGCGUCGGUUACGACACGCACCGAUGCCGGUAAAAAACCUCGGCCGCGGUCGGCAUUUUUCUUCGGUCGAGUCACGGUGACAAUGAAUUAAAAUGGAGCUGGUGUGUAGUGUAAAACGUUUGCAAAAAACUUAUAAACCAUACAACAUUCACAACACUGUUUUACAUACUAUAAAAUUCUAAAUGCAGUAUCAUUGGAAAAUAAAAUCAUUGAUUUUUGCAAGUCUAAUUUAUGUAGGUUUUGCAGUGUUGGAAAUUCCAAAGACCAUUAUGUACAAUUAUCACUGUAACGUUAUACAAGCCCAUUAUGGAAAUACAAUUGAGCUCAUUUAUAUAGAUACAGAUUCACUGGUAUACUACAUCCACCUGGAGAAUAAUUCCAAUUUACUUGAUCAAAUGGACUCAUCAGACUUACCACAAGACCAUCCAUGCUACAUUGCCAAACGAAAGAAAAUCCAAGGGUUAUUUUCUGACGAGACAAAUGGGGAAGUUAUGACACAUUUUUGUGCAUUCUAUGCAAAGUCUUAUACAUAUAAGAUUAAUGGCAAGGAGAAGAUCAGGGCGAAAGGACAUGUGGUCAAAAACUAAAAGAACUUCCAAGAUCAUUAUCGCUAUCUGUUUGGAGAUACAACCUUCGAUGCGAUAACGGUGAAUGUCUAUCCGUUCGUUCAAACAUCAAUUGAUUGAUGGAUAAAGUACAUACCCUGGAUCACAGUCUCUACUCUAUAGAGGAAACCGAGACACCAGAGCCAGCAGAAUCCGAAUUAAUGCAACUUCUGGAAGCCGAGCUAAAAAGAUAGUUUUUAUUCUAAAAUAGAUAUUGGAUUGUUUUUGAAUUGUAAAAUAUCUCUAUAGAUAUUUUUAUUUUAUUUUGUAAAUAUCUCUGUGGAUAUCAUUUUUUUAUUUUUAUUUUGUAAAAUACCCCUGUAGAUAUUGUAAAUAGAUAUUAAGUUAGAAUAGGAAGGAUGGUAUAAAGAAAAACUCUGCUAAAAAAUAAAUAUAAUUUUUAUUUAAAAAAAAA